UAUUGUUUGCGGUUGUUAGUUCAGCGGGAGAUUGGAACCUUUUGAGAUGAGAAACCUUUUGCGUUGUUUUCAAUAAAUCCUUUUACUUAAAGUCCUAAAACAUAUACAGAUCAUUAAAAUGGAGUGUCAAGUCGACAAAGAAACGCAUUUUCGAAACCUUCUUCUUUAUGCAUUUAAUCAAGCGCCAAAGCUGCAGAAGCUGCCCAAAAGAUUUGUGAAUUGUAUGGAGAAGGUGCAAUGCCUGAACGAACUGCAAGAUAUUGGUUUGUCAAAUUCAAAAAUGAAAAUUUCAACCUCGAAGACGCUGCUUGUUCUGAACAACCAAAUGAGUUUGAUGAAGAGCAUUUGAAUCAACUUCUAAAUUAAGAUGCAUGUCAAACCACUCGAGAAUGAGCAGAAUGAAUGGGUUAUAGCCAAAUGACUAUAGUUCGACAUCUUGAAUCUAUGGGGAAAAUCCAAAAACUCGAAUAUUAUUGACUAAUUUAUAGUUUUUUUUGUUUUGUUAAAAUAAAAAUUUUUAAAUUAAAAAA